UACAGAGGGUGCGAGCGUUGUCCGGAAUCACUGGGCGUAAAGGGCGCGUAGGUGGCUGGGUAAGUGUGCGGUGAAAGCCCGGGGCUCAACCCCGGGUCGGCCGUGCAGACUGCUUGGCUUGAGCAUAGUAGAGGCAGGUGGAAUUCCGGGUGUAGCGGUGGAAUGCGUAGAUAUCGAGAGGAACACCGGUGGCGAAGGCGGCAUCCUGGACCAAUAUUGACGCUGAGGAGCGAAGGCCAGGGGAGCAAACGGG
rnacentral:rRNA from 1 species